rnacentral:tRNA from 1 species
GGCUUCGUAGCUCAGCUGGUAGGGCGCUUGCCGUGUUGCGGCAUGGUGUUUCUGUCGCUGGUUCGAAUCCAGCCGAAGCCC